rnacentral:lncRNA from 1 species
AAUCUCCAUAUGCCGCAAGCACAGUCCUAAAAAGCAAAAACAAAAACUAAACUAAAUAUUACAUUUUUUUUCUUCUGUUAUUCCACAAGAAUAUUGGAUUAAAAUCUGAGUUAUUGUUAAAAUGUAUUCUGAGACUAUAAAAUCAGACAAUUUAUAAUUGCAACAUAUAAUCUAGUUCACACAUAUGAGGAUAAAAUUAGUAAGUAUAUCAAUGAGACUUUGUCAUUUAACUUAAAUAACCACUAAUAUUAUUGCUUUCCUAAAGUUAGAAAACUCAUUUGGAAAAUAAAAAUCAAAGUAUUUUAAUUUGUAACACAAAAAUUAAUAGUUUUUAAAUAAAUUAAUCUGUUGUUGGUGAAAAGUAUUGGUAAAUAAUGCUCAGACAGUUGGUACAUUGGGGAACAAGGGCAGGAUUAAUCAUUAAAAUAAGCAAGAAUUGACCUACUUAGCUAUUAUCUGUGGGAUACAUUUCAUCUCCAUGUUGAUUUUUCCUUUCGUUAAACAAGGGACUAUCUAGUCAAGCAUCUGUUCUUUUAUUCUGGACUUUAGUCUUCAUAGAACAUAUCAUGUUAGUGCUCUCCAGUCUUCAGGUAAAUUAUAUCAAUUAUAACUUAGAUUGCAUCUAGGAGCUGAUUUACUAGACAUGAAAUUGUUUGGAAAUUCUGAAGAAUAUUUUUCCAUCUAGAAAAUCUGGUAGUAACUUCAUUUCCUUAUUAAAUUUGAGAGUUUCUUGGCCGGGGGUGUAUGUGUGUACUAGAUUCUUUUUUAGUUCAAUUUUUUUAUUGUUAUUAUUUUUUUUUUUUUGUCUUUUUGCUAUUUCUUUGGGCCGCUCCCGCGGCAUAUGGAGGUUCCCAGGCUAGGGGUCGAAUCGGAGCUGUAGCCGAAGCCCUACGCCAGAGCCACAGCAACGCGGGAUCCGAACCGUGUCUGCAACCUACACCACAGCUCACAGCAACGCCGGAUCCUUAACCCACUGAGCAAGGCCAGGGACCGAACCCGCAACCUCAUGGUUCCUAGUCGGAUUCGUUAACCACUGAGCCACAACAGGAACUCCCUCAAUUUUUAUUUAAAUAUUCUCAAUCAAGAAAAAUUAGAAAUUUAAACAAGGAGAAAAUCAUCCAUAAGUCCACUACUCAAAAAAAAUUUUGGAGUUCCCGUCGUGGCUCAGCAGUUAACGAACUAUCAUCCACGAGGACAUGGGUUUGAUCCCUGGCCUUGCUCAGAGGGUUGAGGAUCCGGCAUUGCCGUGAGCUGUGGUGUAUGUCACAGACGAGGCUCAGAUCCUGUGUUGCUGUGGCUCUGGUGUAGGCCAGUGGCUAAAGCUCCAAUUGGACCCUUAGCCUGGGAACUUCCAUAUGCCACAGGUACGGCCCUAGAAAGACAAAAAAGAAAGAAAGGAAGGAAGGAAGGAAGGAAGGAAAAAGGAAGGAAGGAAGGAAGUAGGUUAAUAUUUUAAGCCUAUAGAUUCAGAAUUUUCUACAAAGAAAAUUAUUUAACCAAAAAGCAGGUGGUGGUUGAUAUAUCCUUAUUUUCUAUUUUAUAUUAUGUUUGUAUUUUCAAUCGAUCUACAUAUAUUUGCACUAUCACUUGUAAAAUCUGCACCACAUUCCAUUUUAUAACUUAUUUAGCCAAUCCCUAUUACUAGCCAUUUACUUUGCUUUUGAUUUUGCAUCAUUGUGAGAGAUGCAAUAAUGUCUAUUUCACCCAAUCUUUGUUAAAUUUAAGAUAAAUUUCUAAUUAUAGAAUUACUGAGCCAGAGUUAACAUCCACUUUUAGGGCUUCAGAUUAAUACUGCUAAAUCCUUUUCUUGAAAAGACUGUAUCAUCUUACUCAUGAAUAAUUUAUUUGAAUAUCUGUUUUCUUGCAUAUUCACCAUCACUGGAUAUCAUUAAAACAUAAAAUAAAACUCUGCUUUAAUUUUUCUGUUUAAGCAUGAUAUCUUAUUGGCUUUUGUUUGUAUUUAUUUUGCUCUCAUAUUAAUUUUUAAAAUUUCUUUAUUGACCAUUAGUUAUUUUUCUUUGCUUACUUCUUAAUGCUGCAUUCUAUACAUUCUGUAUAUUUUCCAUCUUUACUACUUUAUUUUUGCUUUAUUUUUCUGUGUUAAUGUUAUUAACCAUUUGUUUGUUCCAAAUGAAGAAACUAUCUUUUGCAAACAGCUGUUAGAAAUAGCCUUUUAGUAGGAGGAUGGAUUUUGGGAUUCAACAAACUUGUAUUUUAAAUCUGAAUUCUUAUCAUUUACGUGCUAUGUGACUUUGGAUGAGCUACUCUGCCUUGACAAGACUUGAUUAUAGUAUGUAUAAAAUGGAGAUGAGAUAUUAUCUCACAACAGUCAGAAUGGCCAUCAUCAAGAAGUCUACAGCAAAUGAUAGAGUGGGUGUAGAGAUAAGGGAACCCUCCCUAAACUGUUGAUGGAAAUAUAAAUUGGUACAGUCACCAUGGGUAAAGGGUGUGGUGGUUCUUUAAAAAGCAAUCCCCCUUCUGGGCAUAUAUCCAGAAAAAAACAUAAUUCAAAAAGAUACAUGCACCCCAGUGUUCAUUGCAGCACUAUUUAUAAUAGCCAAGACAUGGAGACAGCCUACAUGUCCAUCAACAGAUGAAUGUAUAAAGAAGUUAUGGUCCAUAUAUACAAUAGUCUAUUACUCAGCCAUAAAAAAGAACAAAAUAAUGCCAUCUGCAGCCACAUGGAUGGACCUAGAGAUUAUCAUACUAAGAGAAAUAAGUCAGACAGAGAAAGACAAAUAUCAUGAUAUCACUUAUAUGUGGAAUCUAAUAAAGAUGAUACAAACAAACUUAUUUAUAAAACAGCAGCAAAUUCAUAGAUUUUGAAAUCAAACUUAGGGUUACCAAAGGGAAACCAUAGUGGGGAGGAAUACAUUGGAAGGAUAGAAUUAAUGUACAUAAACUACUAUAUAUAAAACAGAUAACUAAUAAAAAACUACUAUAUAGCACAGGGAGGUCUACUAAAUGUUCUGUAAUAACCUACAUGGGAAAAGAAUGGAUAUGUGUCUAACUGAUUCACUUUGUUGUAAAUCUGAAGCUAAUACAACACUGUAAAUCAACAAUACCCCCAAUAAAAUAAAAUUAAAAAAAAACUCUCAACAAGUUGGAUAUAGAGGGAACACACAUCAACAGUUUAAAGCCAUAUAUAUAUAAUUCCACAACAAACACCAUAUUCAAGGAUAAAAAGUUGAAAGCAUUUCCUCUAUGGUCAGGAAUGACAAAAGAAUGUUCAUUCUUUCCACUUUCAUUCAAAAUAGUAUUAGAAGUCCUAGACAGAGCAAGCAGAUGAUAAAAAGAAAUAAAAGUAAUCCAAAUUGGAAAGGAAAAAGUAAAACUGUCAUUGUUUGCAGGUGACAUGGUAUUACAUAGAGAAAACCCUUAAGAAGCCACUAACAAACUUCUAGAGCUAAUCAUUGAAUCUGGUAAAGUUGUAGUUUACAAAAUUAAUAUACAUAAAUCUGUUAUAUUUCUUUAAACUACUAAUGAAAUGUCAGAAAAAGAAAUCAGUAAACCAGUCUCAUUAUAAUCAUGUCAAAAACAGUAAAAUAUCUAGGAAUAAUUUUAAUCCAUGAUGUGAAAGACCUGUACUCUGAAUACCAUGAGACACUCAUGAAGAAAAUUGAAAACAAUAUAAAUAAAUGGAAAUAUAUAGCACGUUAGAAAAUUAUAAGAGUAUUGUUAAAAUGUCCAUGGUACCCAAAGUAAUCUAGACUUAAUGCAAUUCAUAUCCAAAUACCCAUGACAUUUUUCACACAACUAAAAUAAUCCUAAAAUUUGUAUGGAGCCACAAAACACCAAAUAGUUAAAGCAAUCUUGAGAGCAAAGAAUGAAGCUAGAGUAUCCUUCCCUGACCUCAGACUAUACUGCAAAAAUACAGUAAUCAAAACACCAUGGUGUUGGCACAAAAAAAGGACACACACAACAGAAUAGAAUAGAGAGCCCAGAAAUUAACUCAUGUAUAUACGGCCAAUUAAUAAGCUAUCUUAGAAUCUUAAGGGGGAAAAAAAAGGCAUAUUGAAUUACAUAUGGACAGGACCAAUCCCAGUCCCAGUAAGGGAUAGAAAGUUAUACUGAUGGAAGUGCAGGCACAUUCAUUCAACAUGGACCUGAGAAGGCAGAGGAAGCAGUCAUUUCCUGGUUUAGUAGUGAGGCUCCACCAUCAGUGGCCCUGGCUUUACAUUCUAAAAAUAAGAUUUUCAAGACCUAUUCCGAUCAUCUAACUGGAAGAGGUCAAAAUAACUGCUCAGAUAUUGAAGCAGUGAAUGAGUGUACAUGGGCUCCUAAGUUGACAAAUACCACCUUUCUGAAUGUAAAUACCACCAGAAACAGGAUCUUUUGCCCACGCCCCCACUUGAGGACCAAGCAUGAUCUCUUUCUAUACCAUAUGCAUCUUUAUUUCACUGUUUAAUUUGUCUUUGGGGUAAAGGAUUUGCAAAUCAAGACAAUUUCAAUAUGCAAAUAUCUUCAGUUUUCCAGUAAAGAAGGCUUUAAUUUCCAUUGAAUCAUUUUUCUCUAUAGCUCACUUUCCUUCAUCUUCCAUUGGCUGGAUUCUUAUUAAAUAGCUGGAUUCUUAUUAAGUGCCCUGAAUUGUCCCCAAAUAUACUAGGUAGUUGGGCUCUAGAGAUGGUAUCUUCACCCUCUGGUUAUAGAACUUUCCAUCAGUCAGCCAUAAAUUUAUGCAGAGGAAUAAUGAAGGGUCUAUCAUACAUCUGACAAUUUGAGAAGUAAUCCCAUUUUCACUAAUCUCUCAGACUUGAGCUUAGUCAAGGUCUUCUCACUGCUGUCUCCUAAGCUCAUUAGCCUCAGCAGUGACUUGUGACUGUCCUAACUUUUUAUCUACUGUGCUUUAGCCUGAAGGUGUGAUCCUUUCUACAAACCAUGAAUCUUACUUAUCUUUAAAUGUUGUAGAUUUCAGUGUUAGCUACUCCUGAUAGGAUUUGCAGCUACUUCUCAAUGUAGUGGGGAAAAAAUGAGAAUAUUCUUGUUUAGCACCAGACGCAAUCAUCCUUGUCCAAAUUCAGUAUGUUUCAUGUUUCCUCUUGGCAAGAUAUCCAUUUCCUAUUUAUAGAUGUAAACAUUAAGUAUAAAGAAUUUCUAGGAGUAAUGGAUUCUAUUCUACAGUCUUCCAUUGAUAUAAAUGUCUUAUUACACGUCAUUAUUGAAGACGAUUCUAUGUGCUUUGCAGUAUUUACCAUGUAAAUCCAUGAAAAUUCAAGUCAGACUUCUUUGUGCUACUCAUCUGUUUGG